UCACCUCAGCUAAGUACAGAAUAGGCGUAACCUUCUCCAACCUGUGCUGCCCCAAUCUUGGGCGAACACGAACAAAAUAGAGCUCCGGCGGCGGACCUCGCCGUGUGCUGUGUUGCGCCCUCACUGUGGUCCGACGUACAGAGGAAAGCCCGCCCCAUCCCCGCACCUCCGUUCUCCACCUCCGCGCCACCCUCCAACCCACCCCCUCACUACACCUGGCGCCUACCUCCGCCAUCCGCCGGCGGCUAGAUCCGCCGUUCGCCGAUGCCGGAGAAGAGAAAUCAAGCCAUCAGGUUCAGGGAAUGAUGGAGUCAAUGACUAGUAUUGCUCCACGUGUCAGGUCAACUAUAGCGAUUGGACUUGAAGAUGAUGCCAACAAUUUUUCCUUGGUCCAAACGAGAUUCGGCAUACAUGAUGAAGAUUGUUACAGCACAUCGAAAAGAACAAGUAGCCUACCCGCGUGAGGGUCAACUUACGAGCCAGAAUAUGAUGACAGCCUACAACCCUCAAUUGGAAUGCGAUUUGAUAGCUGGGAGGCAGGUUUGACAUUCUAUAGAAUGUAUGCUCAUGAGGUUGGCUUCUCUGUACGCAUAUGGACACAACACAAAGGAGAGGGCGGUGUAAUAAUCUGGAAGAACUUUGUUUGCGCAAGACAAGGUUGGAGGAAGAAAAAAUCAGUGGAUCUAGGUCAAGUUACUCAAGAAGUGGAGAGAAAAAAGGCUAAAAGAAAUAUCAAGAUAAGCAGAUGCGGUUGUGAGGCUAUGAUGGGAUUGAAGAGGCAAGAUGACAACAAGUACGUGGUCGUCCAAUUUGUUCAAUCGCACACCCACCAACUUGUCUCCCCAAGUAAGAGGCAUCUCAUCAGGUCAAAUAAAGAGGUAACUAGUGAUUUGAGAAACAAAUUAUUUACAUGCAGUAAGGCAUUUCUUGGCACUUCAAAAACUUUUCGCUUGCUUAGCAUAGAGAAGGGUGGGCCAGAAAAUAUUGGUUGCACAGAACGUGACUUACAAAACUGUCACCUUGAUUUAAAGGCAGCGAUUACGGGGGCAGAUGGACAACUUAUAGUAGAUAUAAUGGAAAAUAAAAAAAGGCCAAUCCAGCAUUCUACUUUGAUUACCAGGUAGAUGAGAACAAUAAACUGACAAAUAUUUUAUGGGCAGAUAGCAUAUGUAGAAAGAACUAUUCAUUAUUUGGUGACUUUGCAUCCUUUGACUCUACAUAUCGGUUUAACAAGUAUGACCUGGUAUUUGCCCCUUUUACUGGAGUUAACCAUCACAAAUCUUGUGUUACAUUCGGUGCUGCAUUUUUGUCAAAUGAGAAGAUUGCAUCAUACAAAUAGUUAUUUCAGACUUUCUUGAAAGUGAUGUGUGGGGUUGCACCAAAACUAAUCAUAACCGACGAGGAUCAAAGCAUGAGAAGAGGAAUAGAAAAUAUAUAUUUUCCAAACACAAAGUAUCGACUUUGUAUGUGGCAUAUUCUGAUGAAACUCCCUGAAAAGGUUGGACCCAUCUUGAGAGACAAUGAAUAUUUUAAACCACGAUUCAUGGCAUGUGUCUGGGGAUCAGAGACUCCAGAUGAGUUUGAAUCACGGUGGUCCUCAAUAAUUUCUGAGUUUGGCCUAGAGGAUCAUGAAUGGUUGAAAGAGAAGUAUGGUUUACGUGAAUAAUGGAUUCCAGCAUACUUUAUGGAGUUCUCCCUUGGUGGAAUAUUGCGUACAUCAUCUAGAUCUGAGAGUGAGAAUGCAUUUUUUCGACACUUCACUAACCGAAAGCUUGCCUUGAUUGAGUUUUGGGUAAGAUUUGAAACCGCUUUGGAAGAGCAACGACAAAAGGAGUUGCAAGAGGAUAAUUGUGCACUUCAUACCUUGCCAGUACUCGAGACUUACUGGGGAAUUGAGGCUCAUGCCAAAGAAGUGUGUACUCACAAUAUUUUUGUUGGUUUCCAACGUGAGGUGGUGGCUGCUAGGGAUCGUCAUCAUGUCAAAACCAUUUAGCAGGUUGGUGAUGUCCAAACCAUGAGCAUUGGUGACCUUAGUGGAAGGAUAAGAACAGUCCACUUCAACACUAAUACAAAGGCUGCACAAUGUACAUGUCGAAUGUUUGAAUCAUUGGGCAUCCUUUUCUCUCACAUCAUUGUUGUCUUAAAGAAUGAUGGGUGUAAUGAAAUUCCUAGCCAAUAUGUGCUGCAUAGGUGGACUAAAAUGGCUGCACGACAUCUUUGCUAUGAUGCCAAUGGACAUGAGCUGGAAGGGUCAUCUACUUCUCUUUCACCUACCAUCAAGAAAUUGUACUCACAAACAUGCUCGCAGUUCAGCUUGGCAUUACAUGAAGCUAAACAUUGUGAGGACAAGAUGGAAUACUUAAACAAAGUUGUUGCUGAUGCUUUUGCACACUUGAGGCAGACAGUGCCACUUGAUGAACAAAGUAAAGUUCAAGAGUUUGAAUCCUUUAUUGGAAGGACAUCCCCAAGCAUCAUCAAUAUUCAUCCUCCUGAUAUCGCAAAUACAAAGGACAGUGGCAAGAGAUUGAAGAGGGGUUCAGAGGAGAUCAUUAACAAAAGGAAAAAGGUCAAUUAACCAUAAUUUAAAUAGUAUAUCUUCUAUCAUGUUUUCAUAAUAUGAUUUCCUUCUUGUUUGCAGAGCAAGUAGCAUCCAAGAAGGUUCAACAUCAACAUAUUAUUCUACUUAACGAGGCAAACAUGACAGGGCACAACCCACCCAAGGGAGCGGACAACCUUUACUUCGUGUUAAAUAAUGGAUGAAAAAUGUGUUUGUUAAUGUGAUAUAUGGACCUAGUUCAAGUACACCAUGAUGAAUCUGGCGCAAUAUAUGUGUACCUACUAAUCUUCUAUACAUUGCUUGUAACUGCUGGCUGCAACUCUAGUUAUGUGCAUGUGGAUUAAUGUGUAUUGUUAUGAAUGUCGUUCACAAAGCAUUCAAACUGUCGUACUAUGAGCUAUGAAAUGUUGAGAUGGUUGUUGAUGUGUUGCCUUCUAAGUUCAAAAAGGCGU